UACGAACUGUGCAAACGUUAUUCGGAAUCACUGGGCUUAAAGGGUGCGUAGGCGGCUUGUUAAGUAGGGUGUGAAAUCCCAAGGCUCAACCUUGGAAUUGCGCCCUAAACUGGCGAGCUUGAGUGGGAUAGGGGUGUGUGGAACUUCCAGUGGAGCGGUGAAAUGUGUUGAUAUUGGAAGGAACGCCAGUGGCGAAAGCGACACACUGGGUCUCAACUGACGCUGAGGCACGAAAGCCAGGGGAGCAAACGGG
rnacentral:rRNA from 1 species